rnacentral:rRNA from 1 species
UACAGAGGUCUCAAGCGUUGUUCGGAUUCAUUGGGCGUAAAGGGUGUGUAGGUGGCGCCGUAAGUCGGGUGUGAAAUUUCGGAGCUUAACUCCGAAACUGCAUUCGAAUACUGCGGUGCUUGAGGACUGGAGAGGAGACUGGAAUUCAUGGUGUAGCAGUGAAAUGCGUAGAGAUCAUGAGGAAGACCAGUGGCGAAGGCGGGUCUCUGGACAGUUCCUGACACUGAGACACGAAGGCCAGGGGAGCAAAACGGG